CCCAUGCUGCCUCCUGUCCCAGGGCUUCUGUGGCUGGCCCAGGAUGGGGAACGCAGUCAGGGAACACAAUGUGGCUCCUUGUUCCCCAGCUCAGCCUGCUGGAAUUGGCCCGUUUCCUGCCUAGGCCUUGGGGCCUUUUCCAAGAAAGUGUGACAGCUAGGUGACAACCAAAGAACGCUAAAUAGGCACCCUGGUGCAUGUGAGGCCUUUUGUCUUCUGACAACAGGGGAAACUGAGGCAGACAGGAAGAGGACCGUAGGAGAACCAGAAUCAAGAUUCAGAGUGGGUGAAGACACCAGCACCGCUCAUGUGGGUCAGAGGACAACUUGUGGAAGUCAGUUCUCUACUUUCCCAUGUGGGCCCUGG
rnacentral:lncRNA from 1 species